GAGUUUGAUCUUGGCUCAGAUUGAACGCUGGCGGCAUGCCUUACACAUGCAAGUCGAACGGCAGCACGGGAGCUUGCUCCUGGUGGCGAGUGGCGAACGGGUGAGUAAUGCAUCGGAACGUAUCCUGGAGUGGGGGAUAACGUAGCGAAAGUUACGCUAAUACCGCAUAUUCUGUGAGCAGGAAAGCGGGGGACCUUCGGGCCUCGCGCUCUUGGAGCGGCCGAUGUCGGAUUAGCUAGUUGGUGAGGUAAAGGCUCACCAAGGCGACGAUCCGUAGCAGGUCUGAGAGGAUGAUCUGCCACACUGGAACUGAGACACGGUCCAGACUCCUACGGGGGGCAGCAGUGGGGAAUUUUGGACAAUGGGGGCAACCCUGAUCCAGCCAUGCCGCGUGAGUGAAGAAGGCC
rnacentral:rRNA from 1 species